CCCGCUUAGCCUCCCAAAGUGCUGGGAUUACAGACAUGAGCCACCGUGCCCGGCCAGGAGUGGGUUCUUGAUAAAAGCAUGUUUGGUCCCCUAUUGUCCUCUCUUCCUCUCUUGCCCAUCCACCCUCCAGCAUGGGAUGAGGUAGCAUGAAGGCCACUUGACUUCGGACUUUUCAUCCUCCAGAAAUGUAAGAAAUAAAUUAUUUUUCUUUAUCAACUACCCAGAAUAUUACCCAGUGGUAUUCUGUUAUAGCAACACAAAACAGACUGACACUCGCAGAAUUUCUACAAGAUCUUUUUAAUUUUGCUUCCAUUGCAAUUUCAUUUUGGCUUUUGACCCUUGCAUCUAGAAUAGGCUUGGCCUUGCUCCAGGGAACAUGCCAUCCUGGCCUGACAUAUUUCAUCUUCCCAACUUCUGUCUUCUUUUCAACUACCCACUCCGAAGUAUCCCUGACUCGUCUCCCUUGUCUUUGUUCCUCCUAGUGUGUUUUGUUUUGUUUUUUUGAUGCAUGGGCCAUGACAGAAAUCUACUGAGGUGAAGGGGAAUUGAGGAGAGACUCAUUGUUUUCAGCAAGAUGGGUAGUUAUUGAGGAGAAAUUAGAAGGCAUCAACUAACUGAAUGUGAUAGGAUCCACAUUCCCACCACACGAAAUGAGACAGAUUUUUAAAUAUGGCUAAGCAGUGUAAGUAUUCAGGCAAAGUCUGACAACUAAAUGUGUAGUGGGCUCUAAUUAGAUGGUUCUUCAUUUGUCUCUAGGAAAAAGACUGAAGGAAACAGACAGUGAGACUGAUCCAAAAACUCCCAUGUAUAUACAAACACAUGAAAAAUGUCACCAAAAUGUUAAUGGCAGCUAUGUUACAGUUGCAUCAGGGAUGGGAUUUCAGUGCAUGACAUCUACAAGUGUACAAGAUGGUACUGGAUCCAGUGAGGAAGACAAAAAGUCUGGCAGGAAUGUGAGAGAGACUGGGAAGAAUUGGCUCAAUAUGAUGAUGGAGUUCAGAGAGCUAAAUGAAGUUCUGAGAAGUCACUGUUUUAAAUGGCUUAGCCAUGUGGAGG